rnacentral:rRNA from 1 species
UACGGGGGGGGCAAGCGUUGUUCGGAAUUACUGGGCGUAAAGCGUGCGCAGGCGGUGAUGUAAGUCAGUUGUGAAAUCCCCGGGCUUAACCUGGGAACUGCAUCUGUGACUGCAUCGCUGGAGUGCGGCAGAGGGGGAUGGAAUUCCGCGUGUAGCAGUGAAAUGCGUAGAUAUGCGGAGGAACACCGAUGGCGAAGGCAAUCCCCUGGGCCUGCACUGACGCUCAUGCACGAAAGCGUGGGGAGCAAACAGG